AUUGAACGCUGGCGGCAGGCCUAACACAUGCAAGUCGAACGAGUGGCGGACGGGUGAGUAAUGUCUGGGAAACUGCCCGAUAGAGGGGGAUAACUACUGGAAACGGUGGCUAAUACCGCAUACUAUCAGAUGAACCCAUAUGGGAUUAGCUAGUUGGUGGGGUAACGGCUCACCAAGGCGACGAUCCCUAGCUGGUCUGAGAGGAUGACCAGCCACACUGGGACUGAGACACGGCCCAGACUCCUACGGGAGGCAGCAGUGGGGAAUAUUGCACAAUGGGCGCAAGCCUGAUGCAGCCAUGCCGCGUGUAUGAAGAAGGCCUUCGGGUUGUAAAGUACUUUCAGCGGGGAGGCGUUACCCGCAGAAGAAGCACCGGCUAACUCCGUGCCAGCAGCCGCGGUAAUUC
rnacentral:rRNA from 1 species